rnacentral:rRNA from 1 species
UAACACAUGCAAGUCGAACGAUGAAGCCUUUCGGGGUGGAUUAGUGGCGAACGGGUGAGUAACACGUGGGCAAUCUGCCCUUCACUCUGGGACAAGCCCUGGAAACGGGGUCUAAUACCGGAUAACACUNCUGCCUGCAUGGGCGGGGGUUAAAAGCUCCGGCGGUGAAGGAUGAGCCCGCGGCCUAUCAGCUUGUUGGUGGGGUAAUGGCCUACCAAGGCGACGACGGGUAGCCGGCCUGAGAGGGCGACCGGCCACACUGGGACUGAGACACGGCCCAGACUCCUACGGGAGGCAGCAGUGGGGAAUAUUGCACAAUGGGCGAAAGCCUGAUGCAGCGACGCCGCGUGAGGGAUGACGGCCUUCGGGUUGUAAACCUCUUUCAGCAGGGAAGAAGCGAGAGUGACGGUACCUGCAGAAGAAGCGCCGGCUAACUACGUGCCA